rnacentral:rRNA from 1 species
AUGGACCCUCCUUGUUCCUCUCUCACCCUUCAUCCUUUUUUCCCUCUCUGGUUCUCCCCUCACCUCAUCUCUCUUUGCUCUCUUCACAGGAGCACACCGGCGUCAUGGAAGUCACCGCCGGCCUACGCGUCGAGCUCCGCCACCGGAGAUCCCUGUCGCUGCCUCCAUUCCCGCGUCGUUCCCGUCGUGCCCCUGCUGCGCCGCCGUGCGUCUGCCGUCCGCGUCGGUGACUGCAGCGCCCAGCCAUGGCAUCCAAGGAGCCCUCCUGCCGCCGCCUCGCCGGCCUCGCUCAUGCCCAGCACCUCCUCCACCCUGCAGCCGCGCCUCCACCAGCAGAUGAGCCCUCGCCGUCGGCCAGCAGAGCCGUCGGAGCACCACCAGAACCAGGCCGCCUUCCCUGCCCUCCUCUCUCUUCGUCACUCCCUCUCCGUCUCUCUGCUCUCUCAUGGCCUCUCUCUAUGUGCCCUUCGUAGGUCGACGCCGCCGGCCAUCUCCGCCCCGGAUCCGGUUGCCCUUGUCGUCCCGUGCUCGGAUCUACCUCCUCCAGUCAUCUCCUUGCUGGUCCGCGCCCCGGGGACCCGUCGAUGA